AAAGUUUCUCACGUUUCCAAGGCCAUUCAUUUCAAGGUUAUCAAGGCUAUUCGUUUCUUUGAAAUCUGCUACACGUUUUCUUCUCAUGUUACAAAGCUAUUUCAUUUUUGCUUCUUUCUUUAUUCACUACUCUAUUCAAGGUAACUGAGAUUCAUACUUAACGAUUCAAAGUUCUUCAUUUUUUUUUCAUUUCUAUGUAAUCAUCAUCUUACUUUGAUCAUUUUCCAUUUUUCAUAUAUGAAGUUCUUUCUUUGAUCAUCUUACUAUGAUGAACAUGCAUGUGUUCUAGAUCUAAACUUGUUCAUGUUGUAGCAUUGACGAUACUUUCACAUUGUUGCCUUCAAACUGUUAACUCUAUUACUUUUUGCUGUUUAAUAUAUCUUUGUGGUGUAUUUCGGUGUCAUUAUUUAUUUUUUAUAUUUGUUAUAUUUGUUAUAUUUUACCAUGAACAUACAUAUGUUCUAGAUCUAAAGUUGUUCCUUUCUUUUUACUUGGAUCUUCAUGUAACGUUCCAGAUCCGCUCUACAUUCAAUGUUUUUGUAAAAGAUGUUAACUUUAUUACUUUUUGCUGUUUAAUAUAUAUUUGUGAUGUAUUUCAGUGUCAUUAUUUAUUUUUAUAUUUGUUAUAUUUUACCAUGAACAUGCACAUAUGUUCUAGAUCUAAAGUUGUUCCUUUCUUUUUAUUUGGAUCUUCAUGUAACGUUCCAGAUCUGCUCUACAUUCAAUGUUUUUGUAAAAAAUGUUAACUUUAUUAUUUUUUUUUUGUUUAAUAUAUAUUUGUGGUGUAUUUCAGUGUCAUUAUUUAUUUUUUAUAUUUUUGAUAUUUUGUUAUCUUUUACCAUGAACAUGUAUAAGUUCUAGAUCUAAAGCUGUUCCUUUCUUUUUAUUUGUAUCUUCAUGUAACGUUCCAGAUACGCUCUACAUUCAAUAUUUUUGUAAAAAAUGUUAACUUUAUUACUUUUUGCUGUUUAAUAUAUAUUUGUGGUGUAUUUCGGUGUCAUUAUUUAUUUUUUAUAUUUGUUAUAUAUAUUUGCUAUAUAUAUGUUUGUUUAGUUCUGGUCUUUUAGUGUCAUUAUUUAUUUGUCAUGUGUCUGAUAUUUAUCUUCAUUAUAUAUCAUUUAGGCAAUUUAUAUGAGCACAGUUUCAGCUUAUUGUAGCAAACUACUAACUCCCUCCAGUGUUGGCGCCUUUCUGCGUUGUGGGUUCAAUUUCCUCAUUCAAAAUUUGUCUUUUUCUUUUCUUCACCUGCAUCAUCUCAUGAUUCUAUGUCCCCUUACUACUAUUUUUAGGGUCUUAUACUGAUAUUUAUUUUCAUUAUAUAUUAUUUAGGCAAUUUAUAUGAGCACAGUUUCAGCUUAUUUUAGCAAACUACUAACACCCUUCAGUGUUGGCUUUUCUGCGUUGUGUGUUCAAUUUCCUCAUUCAAAAUUUGUCUUUUUCUUUUCUUCACCUGCAACAUCUCAUGAUUCUCUGUCCCUUACUACUAUUUUUAGGGUCUUAUAUUUCUCCCCUUUCUAAUAUAAUUGAAACUAUUAUCCACUUUGACAUGUUGAAUUUUAUUUCUUAAAAAACUUCUAUAAUUCUCAUAUUUUGUUUCAAUUAUAUUUUGUAGAUUCCGGAACCGUGUAUAUGAAUUUGGUGAAUUGGAAUGCAGUUUGAUGUUCUCCAUUUGUUGUUCAAAUUAAACCAGAUUAUCAAACCAGAUAGGAGUUAGAUUUUGUAUUCUAUGAUCUAAUCCGCAGUCAGAUUAUCAAACCAGACAUAUUAUGCACUCUACUACUAUGAUAUAUCCCUAUGUCUGCUUUAUUCAUUUUGUACCACUUUUAAAGUUCUUUUUGUACCAAUUUUUAAAUUAUAUUAUUAAAUGUGAGAGAUUGUCAUG
rnacentral:lncRNA from 1 species